rnacentral:rRNA from 1 species
AAUGGACGAAAGUCUGACGCAGCAACGCCGCGUGGGUGAUGAAGGUCUUCGGACUGUAAAACCCUGUCGUCAGGGACGAAGGUAGCGGGAUUAACAAUCUCGUUGCUUGACGGUACCUGGAGAGGAAGCCCCGGCUAACUCUGUGCCAGCAGCCGCGGUAAUACAGAGGGGGCAAGCGUUAUUCGGAAUUAUUGGGCGUAAAGGGCGCGUAGGCGGUUUUUUAAGUCAGAUGUGUAAUCCCCGAGCUCAACUUGGGAACUGCAUCUGAGACUGGAAGGCUAGAGUACUGGAGAGGGUGGUGGAAUUCCUCGUGUAGCGGUGGAAUGCGUAGAGAUGAGGAGGAACACCAGUGGCGAAGGCGGCCACCUGGACAGUAACUGACGCUGAGGCGCGAAAGUGUGGGUAGCAAA